UACGUAGGGGGCAAGCGUUGUCCGGAAUUAUUGGGCGUAAAGAGCUCGUAGGCGGUCUGUCGCGUCUGCUGUGAAAAUCCAGGGCUCAACCCUGGACCUGCAGUGGGUACGGGCAGACUAGAGUGCGGUAGGGGAGAUCGGAAUUCCUGGUGUAGCGGUGAAAUGCGCAGAUAUCAGGAGGAACACCGGUGGCGAAGGCGGAUCUCUGGGCCGUAACUGACGCUGAGGAGCGAAAGCAUGGGGAGCGAACAGG
rnacentral:rRNA from 1 species